CUUGGGAGAUUGUGGAAGCUUCUUCACUGGAGGUUUGCAAAAGGGGGCUGUAUAGCCAACUGCCUUGGAUGGUGUAGACACAAGAAAUCCUGCAUCUUGGCAGGGGGGUUGACUAGUCCCUUCCAACCCUGAUAUUCUAUGAU